GAUGAACGCUGGCGGUGUGCCUAAUACAUGCAAGUCGAGCGAACAGACGAGGAGCUUGCUCCUCUGACGUUAGCGGCGGACGGGUGAGUAACACGUGGAUAACCUACCUAUAAGACUGGGAUAACUUCGGGAAACCGGAGCUAAUACCGGAUAAUAUAUUGAACCGCAUGGUUCAAUAGUGAAAGACGGUUUUGCUGUCACUUAUAGAUGGAUCCGCGCCGCAUUAGCUAGUUGGUAAGGUAACGGCUUACCAAGGCAACGAUGCGUAGCCGACCUGAGAGGGUGAUCGGCCACACUGGAACUGAGACACGGUCCAGACUCCUACGGGAGGCAGCAGUAGGGAAUCUUCCGCAAUGGGCGAAAGCCUGACGGAGCAACGCCGCGUGAGUGAUGAAGGUCUUCGGAUCGUAAAACUCUGUUAUUAGGGAAGAACAAAUGUGUAAGUAACUAUGCACGUCUUGACGGUACCUAAUCAGAAGGCCACGGCUAACUACGUG
rnacentral:rRNA from 1 species